rnacentral:rRNA from 1 species
GAUGAACGCUAGCUACAGGCUUAACACAUGCAAGUCGAGGGGCAGCAUGGUCUUAGCUUGCUAAGGCCGAUGGCGACCGGCGCACGGGUGAGUAACACGUAUCCAACCUGCCGUCUACUCUUGGACAGCCUUCUGAAAGGAAGAUUAAUACAAGAUGCCAUCAUGAGUCCGCAUGUUCACAUGAUUAAAGGUAUUCCGGUAGACGAUGGGGAUGCGUUCCAUUAGAUAGUAGGCGGGGUAACGGCCCACCUAGUCUUCGAUGGAUAGGGGUUCUGAGAGGAAGGUCCCCCACAUUGGAACUGAGACACGGUCCAAACUCCUACGGGAGGCAGCAGUGAGGAAUAUUGGUCAAUGGGCGAGAGCCUGAACCAGCCAAGUAGCGUGAAGGAUGACUGCCCUAUGGGUUGUAAACUUCUUUUAUAAAGGAAUAAAGUCGGGUAUGGAUACCCGUUUGCAUGUACUUUAUGAAUAAGGAUCGGCUAACUCCGUGCCAGCAGCCGCGGUAAUACGGAGGAUCCGAGCGUUAUCCGGAUUUAUUGGGUUUAAAGGGAGCGUAGAUGGAUGUUUAAGUCAGUUGUGAAAGUUUGCGGCUCAACCGUAAAAUUGCAGUUGAUACUGGAUAUCUUGAGUGCAGUUGAGGCAGGCGGAAUUCGUGGUGUAGCGGUGAAAUGCUUAGAUAUCACGAAGAACUCCGAUUGCGAAGGCAGCCUGCUAAGCUGCAACUGACAUUGAGGCUCGAAAGUGUGGGUAUCAAACCAGG